UGAACUGCUGUGGUAUCGUUCUUUAAUCAACACUUUAAUUUGAAUAAUGUAGAUUAGAUAGCGAUUCCAUUUACAGUGUGC